rnacentral:rRNA from 1 species
UACGUAGGGAGCAAGCGUUAUCCGGAAUUACUGGGUGUAAAGGGUGCGUAGGCGGGAUGUAAAGUCAGAUGUGAAAUACCAAGGCUUAACCUUGGGGCUGCAUUUGAAACUUACAUUCUUGAGUGAAGUAGAGGCAAGCGGAAUUCCCAGUGUAGCGGUAAAAUGCGUAGAUAUUGGGAGGAACACCAGUGGCGAAGGCGGCUUGCUGGGCUUUAACUGACGCUGAGGCACGAAAGCAUGGGGAGCAAAC